GAUGAACGCUGGCGGCGUGCCUAAUACAUGCAAGUCGAGCGAACAGAUGAGGAGCUUGCUCCUCUGACGUUAGCGGCGGACGGGUGAGUAACACGUGGAUAACCUACCUAUAAGACUGGGAUAACUUCGGGAAACCGGAGCUAAUACCGGAUAAUAUAUUGAACCGCAUGGUUCAAUAGUGAAAGGCGGUUUUGCUGUCACUUAUAGAUGGAUCCGCGCCGCAUUAGCUAGUUGGUAAGGUAACGGCUUACCAAGGCAACGAUGCGUAGCCGACCUGAGAGGGUGAUCGGCCACACUGGAACUGAGACACGGUCCAGACUCCUACGGGAGGCAGCAGUAGGGAAUCUUCCGCAAUUGGCGAAAGCCUGACGGAGCAACGCCGCGUGAGUGAUGAAGGUCUUCGGAUCGUAAAACUCUGUUAUUAGGGAAGAACAAAUGUGUAAGUAACUAUGCACGUCUUGACGGUACCUAAUCAGAAAGCCACGGCUAACUACGUG
rnacentral:rRNA from 1 species